CUUGAAACCAGGCCAUACUUUAAAUUUGUUAUAAUUAAACAAAUUCUGGUUUUAACACUAAUGUAGUUGUCAUUGAGUAAAAGCUUCUUCUUUGGUUCUGCUGUGAAAGAGGAGACAACGAGGACAGAUGGUUCCACUCGAACUGGAAAACGAAUCAGCACAUAAUUAAUCUCAGCGUCUCAGAGGAAAACAAAGCCGCCGCCGCGACCUCGGGGCCAAUUAACGCCAGCAGCCCACCCGAUGAUCGCCAGCGUCUCGUGGCUCAAUCCCAGCUCAGGUCGGACACUUAUUUAUGGUUUGCUUAUCACACAAAGUGCUUUGAUGCUGUGUGCGACAUCCUCAUUCAUAGAGCCCUGAGAAUUCAGCCCUUGCUCUUCAGCGCUGAGCGGA
rnacentral:lncRNA from 1 species